AGGCGGUCCCCUCGCAACGAUAGGUAGUGAAGCCCGCCAGGCCCGGAAGGGAGCAACGGUAGUUACUGAUACGUGUGCCGGGGUGCGGCUGUUUGGG
rnacentral:SRP_RNA from 1 species